UAACCUCCUAUCCAAAUAUUGACAUUGGCAUCAAUUAAUUAUUUGAUUGAUUAAUACCUUGCCUUUUCUGCAGCCGCAGGACUUACUACCUGAUCAACAACAGCAAAGUGACUUCAUCAUCACCAAAGUUCCUACAUCAUGUUCCACUAAGGACCAUGAACUGGCCCUCUGCUUAAAACGUUUGAGGACUCCUGCUCUAUCCUCACAUGAACUCGACAUGUUGCUUCCAAGUUCCUGGUGUGCAUGGAGAGGGAAAAGUUGGCAUAUUCACAAGAAAUCUAGAGGUAAGC
rnacentral:lncRNA from 11 species